ensembl:lncRNA
AUGUUGAAAGAACUAAUCUAUCUUUUCUUAUCUGUGGCUUCUCUUUGUCAGGGUCCUCCAGGGCUGCCGGGUAAACAGGGAUUUGGAGGCGGAGGAGGGCAGUCUGGUGUACAGGGAGAGAUUGGCCCUAUUAGACCUGCUGGUUUAUCAGGGCCAACGGUGAGCGGCGAUGGGCCUUUUAACUGGUUAAAAUCUGACUCACUGAAAGCCAGCCGCUUAGUCAUUACAUUGCUUUUACUUCAGGGCUAUGAUGGGUCUGUUGGAGAGGGAAAAGAUGGACCUAAGGGGGAGAUGGGAAAAUCAGGAGAACCAGGACCUGAAGGAGAGCCCGGGUAGACCCGGAGUCCCUGGAAGAGCUGGAUUUAAAGGUCAAAAGGGACUGCUGGGUGUUUCAGGGAGCAGAGGACAGGAUGGCACUCACGGUGCAACUGUAAGAGCCACAAAUACACAAUUUUAUACAGAAUGCCCUGUUAGUUUGCUUCAUUAGCCACUAAAAGUAAUUUGUGUUACAAGGAUCGAUUGGACCACCUGGAUCAGAUGGAGAUAGAUGACCUCAGGGUCCCCAGGUAAGACCUCCUCUUAUUUUUUCAUGCUUUGUUAGACAAUAUUUAUACUGACAUGGACAAUACAACUGAUUAAAUCUGAUGUCUGAACAGGGUUUACAGGGAAGGCCUGGUGCACCAGGAAUCCAAGGUCCUGUUGGAAAAAGUGUGAGUUUUAUUUUCCUUUCCUGAUUGACAGGAUUUCCAAGCCCUUCAGUCUCUUAGUUAUGUAACUCUCCAUCUUGUGGUAUAUUUAGCUGUUAAAAAUGCUGACAUUACGGUCUAAGAAUAUGACAUCCAGCACAAUG